rnacentral:lncRNA from 1 species
AAUACCACAGAGCUACACAGCAAACUUAAUCAACCCCUGUUAUGUACAUGUGCCUUCAAUCGGCUCUGUUUGCCAUCGUUGCAAGAAUUCUGAACACUAGCGCACUUUCACACACCGCGAUUUUCAAUCAAAUUGUCACUAGGACAUGUGAUUUCGCACUAGUUUAUAAAGUCAACCUGCAUACAUGAACCCAGCAUUUGAACUAAUGUAUCUUCGAGGAGAGGACAAAUGGAAGGAUACACAAAGCUAAAACCAUAAAUAUUAUAAGAAAUCCAAACAUGAGAAAUACUAUAUCUGUCAAUUCUGUACAUAAACAUCCCCCACUAGCUUAGCCUUCGCAUAUAUGUAUAUAUAUAUAUAGACACAUUUACAUUUAUGUGUAUAUGACGGCCGCAACAAAAAGUAGUUAACACUCCUCUGUCUAAACAUUUGGGUGACGGACAAAUGUAGAGGUUUUCAUAUACAAGUACUUUGACAAGACUAAGGGAGUUCAUGAAUAAUGUGGAACGGUGUGUCAAGUGCGCAUCGUAUCCAAUUACAGUCCUAAUGGCGCUUCGGAUUAGUCGGUGGCGGCGUAGGGGGUGCUUUAAGACGUCUUACGCCCCUAAAUUCCCUGUCAACAAUUUGACCCAUCAACUCUCGAUGUGCUUCCAUGGCUGGUACUGCAGAUGAUUCAUCUCAGGCUGGAACGGAACUCGGAGUACCACUCUGAGCAUCAGGAACGUGGACUUCGCGGAGACCUGUGCCGCACUCAGCCUCACCAAGGAGCAUCACAAGGAAGACAGCUAUCAGAAUCAGUCCCUGCAACUUGCGAUCAUAGCUCGAUGCAGACGCCAUUGCUGUUGAUGACCACGAUCGGAUGCCUCCACGAUCAACUCAACACGAUCACAACCUUCACCUCCAGCACUAUCCUCAGACCAGACAGUUGACAGGCCCAGAUCACAUUCCUGAGGAAAGAGAUUCGUGAUUCUGCAACUCUGGUGCAGCAUUUAUACCAGUUUGCAGGCUCCUCUCGUCCUAAUUAUCAUUCAUAAGUCCACGGACACUGUAUAAAAACCAACUUUAGGACCAGGUUAACGAACAUCUAGAUUAUCACGCUCUGCAACGCACACUU